AAGACUAUACUUUCAGGGAUCAUUUCUAUAGUUUGUUAUAUGUAAAGGUUAUGGUUAUUGUAUUAUGGUUAAAAAGUCCGUGACAGACAAUAAAUUAGAGUCAUCUUGGA
rnacentral:snoRNA from 1 species